CUGAGUAAAUAUUACCUGGAACUGCAUGGUAACGUACAGCAAAGCAUACACCGCUCGCCAUCACUUCGCGUGUUGUGGAAAUCGUGACCUCUUCUAAUUCGUGUUUGAACCAACGGCGACUUUUGUGUGUGUGUGUGUGUGUGGAGUUUUGGUGGUGGAAGGGGCUGGGGGUUGGUUGUUCUGCGGAAGGGGUGAACGUAAAGUGAAGCGAAUUUAACGAUAACAAGCGAAACGCCUGCUUGAAUGCGGCAGGAAGGAUUGGCUUCCAGGAAGAGUGGGGAAAAUGUGGUGAGAGCGUGUGGAGGACACGGGCGAUUGCACGGAAAUCAAUAUUGAACUGUUGACCCUGCAGUAGAGUGUUCCCUGCAUACCACCUUUUUGCAUCCAAUUUGCUUCACUCUAAAGGAUGAAACUAUGGGUCUGAAACAAUCCUGUUUGGGCGGCUGCAGAUUAUGUUUGCAAGGUGAAUGUGAUAGAAGCCGCAGUUCAGUGGAGAGUCAUCUCCAAGUCCCUGAUAUCAUAAUAACGCCUCCAACACCCACGGUUCUCUCAACACCCGGCAGCUUGAAACAGGCUGACAGGGACUCGCUGCUAGAUGACACUCUCCCAAACAGAUGUUAGCUGCAAAAAAGCCCUGAUAUUUAUGCAAAAGCCCAAGCACCAAGAUCACAUCAAGAAUGUUUCUUGUUUGAAGAAGCGUUAAGAACAGAUUGCACAGCAACCAUCUGCCUCAUUUCACUUGGUGUGUGAAUGAUAAACUAUACACAGAUUUAUCUACCAAUCUGUUUUUUUUUAAAACUUUUAAAACAAGUUUUGAUGACAAUAGCAAUAUAGAGUUUGGAUUAAAAACUUAAAACAUCUGCAAAAAAUUACUGUCUGCCAUGUUUAACUGCUUUGCACUGUCUCUUAACUCUCCUGCUUUCUGUUGUGUCUUCACACACUAUGAGAAAAGCCCCUUUCAAAAAUACCAUUCGAAGAUUAAAAGUGCAAAUUUUUGCAGUUGCCCUUUUAACUAAAGAGGAAUUCUGCACCAAUUACACACACAAAUAGUCCAAUCUCAAACUCCCAAAUUACAUCCUGGUAUCUUGUUCCAACUUCAUAGAACAAGCUCCAGAGACAACCAAAGAUGUUUUCAAUAACGCAGUGAGAUUAUCAACAUGCAAAGAUUAUCAAGGAUCUGUAAAUGAAGACCAGAUGGAGUGUCAUUUCAUCCUGAUACUGUUGAUGCCUAAAGGAAUUUUUAAUGGAGAGGCAGGCAGAUGGAAAUUCUUAAUUCAUGAUGACAGCCAACAGAUGGCAAAAGGCAUUAUCUACAACUGCAUGAUUCCAGAGACAGAUUCUUUAAAAAUGUCAGCAACCAAAUGGAAAACAGUGCCUUUCAAUUCACACUGCCUCCCCUAUCCAUCAGAAAUGGAAAUCCGAUCGCAUUUUUUAGGUCAAUGAGAACUAGACUUGAGCUCUAGUGCUACACACCAGUAAAUAUGAAGUUAGCCAUGCUCAGAGGCAAAUGUGAAGACCCAUUGCAAUCUAACCUGAAUUGGGAACAAUACCGGGAUCGAAGGGAUAAUUUUGUGGAGAAGGCAAUUUGUGGAGUUAGAACUCACGCUUUUAAAAUCUCUGCAUUUUUAAGAUUGAAACUAUGUUCCUUCUGUAGUAUUUCUUAAGGAUUUUCAAAAAUGUCCUGAGUUGCAAAUGCAGUGGGCCGAGGUAUGGUACUAAAUCACACUGAGUAGGAAGAUCCUCUGUUGCUGUCCCUGGUCUUAGUCUGAGCAAUUUGGGUGUCAGCCAUAAUUCAGGUGGUACUCUCUUGCUGCAGCAUGCAGGAUUGUUAGUUCAAAUUCCACUCCAGAAAUUGACCUCAAAUUUAGGUUGGCACUGCACUGCAACACUGUGGGAGUGCUGCAUUGUCAGAGGUGCAGUUUUCGGGUGAGACAUUAAGCCAAAGCCUGGUUUGCCCUCCUCAGGUGCAUUGCAUAAGCUCCCAGGGCACUAUUGUGAAGAGGCAGAGGGAGAUAUCCCCAUGUCCUGGCCUAUAUUGAUGUUACAAAUAGAAUAUAGAUUAUUUGGUCAUUACCACAUUGCUGUUCUGUGCACAAUUUGGCUGCCAUGUUUCUUACAGUAAACAGUGGCCAACUCUUCAAAAUUACUUAACUGCUAGAAAUAUAUUUUGGAUUACAUAUAUUUGUUUCUUUUUUAUACAUAUGGAGGUUUGGUUUUUUUCCUGCUACAAUUGGAAUCAGUGCCUCUCAGUCAAAAGGGGAAAGAAUAUCAGCCUGAGUUACUGUUUGAUACUCUCUGAGUGAUGUGGGUAGACGGGGAUAGGAUAAUGUCAGGAUCAGAUUCACCUGAGAUGCCUACCAUGAUUGAAUUGCCUGCUGUAAGUGACUAUCCAGACUUGAGCAGAAAGGAUGCUCAUUUCAUUGUGCUGAGGUACUGUGGCUCAGAAAGCAUUACUUUAAAGUGACAGGUGGAAAUUUUUAAAAAUUCCACUCUCUUCACAAUCACACUGGCUCAUUCAGUCUGCCCCCUCUUUUUUAAAAUUGGAUUGUUAUCGCUUUAUUGACGAAGUAUGCACCUUAAAUUUGAUUUGAAGAAAUUUCUAUGUGGUAUCAUUAAAACAAAUGUAACAACUUCAGCUUUUCCUCAACAGUUUGAGUGUUAAUGGGAUUUAUGUUAGCAUAUUAAGAACCUCUUAAUGAAAUGGCUUCAUGUUACACUGAUAGGUGCCAGCUACAUUACAGCAACUGCCUCACAAUGCACAAACUGCAUGUGGUGGACAGGAUUGGAUUUAACUGUGAUACCUCCUAGAUUGAAACCAGUUGUUUAGUCUGACAUGAAAAAUAGCUAUUUAAGUGGAUGCAUGGCACUUCCAGGAGACAAAGGCACGAAAUGGGAACUGUUCUUUAAAUCAGACCAUGAUCCAAUGCUAUAAAUGAAGGUAGCUAUCCAAUACAUUUCCUCCCAUGUGCUUUACAAAAUCAUGAUAUUUGUAUACUGUGCCAUUAACUGAGUGUACUUUUCAACUGUUCCUGUGAGUGAUUCAUUUCCUGAUCUGACAUUGCAAAUUGUUUAUGGUUUUUGUAAUGAUGGAUAGCAUCAAUGUUGUAAUAAAGGCAACAGCGCUUCUUUUUAA